AGCAAAAAUUAAAAUAAAUAAAUAAAUAAAUAUAUAUAUAUAUAUAUAGAGAGAGAGAGAAAAAGACAUGUAUGCUGGCAGGAUACCAGGUAUCAGACGUGAAGGUAAACAAUGAAAAAAAAAUAGUGUAUGUUCUGAUGCGUCAGAUGUACGACCGUGCAUGACAGACAUUGGUCAGCUGAACAUUACACAAUAUAUGAUGGGAAGGAAGAAGAGAGAGAAAUAAAAUCUGGUCAGAGAAGAAGUUCCACAGUUCGCUCUUGAUCGGAGAAGAAGGUCCACAACCCUCCGCUAAUGAGAGAAGUAUCGCACUAGAGAUUUUUGCAUAUCAAUGAUUCUUAAAGAAGAGGUUAGCAAGGUCAUGUUAGUGUCUGCUGUAUCUUCAACGAAAAUAGAUGAAGAAAUCGCCUAUGUGAACCUGGUUUGUGAUAUUAGCUGACUGCGAAAAAUCACCUAAUUUUUUUGUCCGAUUAGUGGGAGAAAUUAAGCCGGAGAUAGUUUCAGAAGUAACAGUAAGGAGGAAUACUUUCGUCAGAAAGUUUUGCACUGAAGAACCUACUUUGUUUGAAUCUGAACGUACGAGUGGUGACCCGAGGAGACUGAUUGUAGAAGAUGGCAAGGAAGUUUUAUGUUGUCUAUAAGGGGUAUAACCGAGGAAUAUACAAGAGUUUAGUGGAAUGCAACAAGCAAGUGACGGGGUAUCGAGUAGCUGUAUUUAAGUCAUAUAGCUCUCUAGUUGAAGCAGAACAGGAGUAAAUUUCAAGCAAGAAGAAACAGUUGGAAUGAAGGGGGACCAUCACAUGGGAAUUACUUAGUCGAACGUAAUGACUUUGUAAUCAGGAGAAGGUGUAGAUGUUCGGAUGAGGGGCCUUCAUAUGGGAAGGAAACCUCGGAACGUGUUUGUGUUGCGGGAUGUCCCUGCUUCUUUCCUUGUUUCUAAUAUUUAUUGGAGUUGUUAUCCGUUAUUGUAAUCCCCACUAGAUGUUCUAUGUAAGGAUUGAAGAAUUUGGAUUUAAGGUUACGAAUGAGUAAACUUUCUGAUUGAAAAAUGCAA